GAUGAACGCUGGCGGCGUGCCUAAUACAUGCAAGUCGAGCGAACAGACGAGGAGCUUGCUCCUCUGACGUUAGCGGCGGACGGGUGAGUAACACGUGGAUAACCUACCUAUAAGACUGGGAUAACUUCGGGAAACCGGAGCUAAUACCGGAUAAUAUAUUGAACCGCAUGGUUCAAUAGUGAAAGACGGUUUUGCUGUCACUUAUAGAUGGAUCCGCGCCGCAUUAGCUAGUUGGUAAGGUAACGGCUUACCAAGGCGACGAUGCGUAGCCGACCUGAGAGGGUGAUCGGCCACACUGGAACUGAGACACGGUCCAGACUCCUACGGGAGGCAGCAGUAGGGAAUCUUCCGCAAUGGGCGAAAGCCUGACGGAGCAACGCCGCGUGAGUGAUGAAGGUCUUCGGAUCGUAAAACUCUGUUAUUAGGGAAGAACAAAUGUGUAAGUAACUAUGCUCGUCUUGACGGUACCUAAUUAGAAAGCCACGGCUAACUACGUG
rnacentral:rRNA from 1 species